rnacentral:rRNA from 1 species
ACGAACGCUGGCGGCAUGCCUAACACAUGCAAGUCGCACGAGACCUUCGGGUCUAGUGGCGCACGGGUGCGUAACGCGUGGGAAUCUACCCUCAGGUUCGGAAUAACUCAGAGAAAUUUGAGCUAAUACCGGAUGAUGACGUAAGUCCAAAGAUUUAUCGCCUGAGGAUGAGCCCGCGUAGGAUUAGGUAGUUGGUGAGGUAAAGGCUCACCAAGCCGACGAUCCUUAGCUGGUCUGAGAGGAUGAUCAGCCACACUGGGACUGAGACACGGCCCAGACUCCUACGGGAGGCAGCAGUGGGGAAUAUUGGACAAUGGGCGAAAGCCUGAUCCAGCAAUGCCGCGUGAGUGAUGAAGGCCUUAGGGUUGUAAAGCUCUUUUACCCGGGAUGAUAAUGACAGUACCGGGAGAAUAAGCUCCGGCUAACUCCGUG